AAAAAAAAAAAAAAAAAAACAAUGGAGUAGAAAUUUACUGUAACUUAGAAACUAGAAAGAAACAACCUAGAAAGUUGAUUUAUUGAACCAACAGUCGGUCACAGGAUAUAAUCCUGCUUAGAUAUCCCAGAAAUCUUCUCAGCGUCCUUGGCAAAAGUUUCCUUAUCCUCUCGCCAAAGGCCUCCAUCACAUUCAAGCCAUUUGGGGCAUCCUGAAUCAUUAAGCAUGUUCAUCAAUUGAUAUGCCAAGCUCCCAAUGAUAUCUAUAAUUGUAAUAUUAAAAAUAUAUUAAUUAGAUAAUAUUA
rnacentral:misc_RNA from 1 species